ACGUGGCCUGGUGGGUACGACGCCGGGCUGAUAACCUGGAGGUCGUAGGUUCAAGCCCGGGC
rnacentral:tRNA from 1 species